GUGAAUCAUCGAAUUUUUGAACGCAAACUGCACUCUCUGGUAUUCCGGAGAGUAUGCCUGUUUGAGGUUCGGUUUAAAUAAAAAUCGGUUUGGUUGCUGCCUUUCGUGGUGACGCACCGGAUUUGGUUCGCCUUGCCUUCGGUUAGUUACCCUAAAAUUUUGCAUGAUUUUUUUCGAACGUAUUUAAUUGAUUUUACGUACGUUUCCGUUAUCGAAUCCU
rnacentral:misc_RNA from 1 species